rnacentral:rRNA from 1 species
CAGCGCCGCGGGAAUACGAAGGGGGCUAGCGUUGCUCGGAAUUACUGGGCGUAAAGGGCGCGUAGGCGGACAGUUCAGUCGGGGGUGAAAGCCCGGGGCUCAACCUCGGAAUUGCCUUCGAUACUGGCUGUCUUGAGUAUGAGAGAGGUGUGUGGAACUCCGAGUGUAGAGGUGAAAUUCGUAGAUAUUCGGAAGAACACCAGUGGCGAAGGCGACACACUGGCUCAUUACUGACGCUGAGGCGCGAAAGCGUGGGGAGCAAACAGGAUUAGAUACCCCCGUAGUCCCUGUCUCUUAUACA